AUAAAACGCAAUUAGACGUAAUUAGAAUGCAGACGAAGACUAGUGGUUAGCAGUCUAAUGCGGAAAAAAUAACUCUACGUUUAUCAUCCCUGGACGUUACAUACUCAACGGCAAGCACAAUCCUCCGAAGCCUAGUUUCAUCGCGAAAAGCAACGCUUCGUAUACGCGAGGGAUUAAGGAAGACGUACGACAACAUAUGGAAGCUUCGCGCAUUUCGCGAUAACGAUGAAGGAAUAAUCCCGUGUUGUACAUCGUAUUCUAAAGUCCAG
rnacentral:misc_RNA from 1 species